AGGACUAACGCUGGCGGCGUGCCUAACACAUGCAAGUCGAACGAGAGUAGCAAUACUCUAGUGGCAGACGGGUGAGUAACACGUGGUCAACCUACCUCUUAGUGGGGGAUAACUAGCCGAAAGGUUAGCUAAUACCGCAUUCGAUCUUCGAUCGGCAUCGAUUGAAGAUGAAAGGCGCAAGUCGCUAAGAGACGGGACCGCGUCCCAUUAGCUAGUUGGUAGGGUAAUGGCCUACCAAGGCGACGAUGGGUAGCUGGCUUGAGAGAGCGACCAGCCACACUGGGACUGAGACACGGCCCAGACUCCUACGGGAGGCAGCAGUGAGGAAUUUUCCGCAAUGGGCGAAAGCCUGACGGAGCGACGCCGCGUGUGGGAAGAAGGCCUUCGGGUCGUAAACCACUGUCGAAGGGGAAGAUAUUGACGGUACCCUUGGAGGAAGCCCGGCUAACUACGUGCCAGCAGCCGC
rnacentral:rRNA from 1 species